GUGCUCACUUUGGCAGCACUUAUGUGAAAUUGAAAUGAUACAGAGAAGUUUAGCCUGGCCCCUGUGCAAGGAUGACACAGGAAUGUGUGAAGCGUUCCAUAUUAAA